rnacentral:rRNA from 1 species
UCGGGAAUUUUGGGCAAUGGGCGAAAGCCUGACGCAGCGACGCCGCGUGGAGGACGAAGGCCCUCGGGUCGUAAACUCCUGUCAAGAGGGACGAAUGCCGCAGGGAUGAAUAAGCCUUGCGGUUGACGGUACCUCUGAAGGAAGCCCCGGCUAACUCCGUGCCAGCAGCCGCGGUAAUACGGAGGGGGCAAGCGUUGUUCGGAAUCACUGGGUUUAAAGGGUGCGUAGGCGGCUGUAUAAGUCAGUGGUGAAAGGCUGUGGCUUAACCAUGGGAUUGCCAUUGAUACUGUACGGCUUGAAUUAGGAUGAGGUUGGCGGAAUGUGACAUGUAGCGGUGAAAUGCUUAGAUAUGUCAUGGAACAUCGAUUGCGAAGGCAGCUGACUGGACCUUAAUUGACGCUGAGGCACGAAAGCGUGGGGAGCGAACAGGAUUAGAUACCCGAGUAGUCCCUGAGCGGGCUGGCAAGGCGCAU